AUAAAGCAACCCACCUUAAUGCCUUCAGAUGUUAAGUAGAGUCCCACUUCUAAGAUUUUCCUAUCAUUUCUAAAAUUUUCAAUUUGUAUUCUCCAAAUUAGGGUCCAGGCUCAUGUCCUUGAUAAGGCUUUCACAAUCAACUGGUAAAUGGCUGAAUCAUAUUUACCAUGAGAAGAUUCCCAAAACACUUUUCAAGGAUUCCUCAUGCCUUAAUCUCAGGUAAGAGAGAGCUACAUUUUUAUAAGAUAAAAUAAUACUGUAUGUUAGCUGUAGACUUUGAACAGUAACUUUCUGUUUUCUUUCCCUUCUAUAAGGAUGAAAUAGAGACAGUGGUGCUUCCAGAGUAAGUGACAGAAAUGAAAUGAGCACUAAGAUUAGGAAUCAACACUCUGGUCUGCCACAGGAAAUAGA
rnacentral:lncRNA from 1 species